rnacentral:rRNA from 1 species
UGGGGGAUAUUGCACAAUGGGCGAAAGCCUGAUGCAGCGACGCCGCGUGGGGGAUGAAGGCCUUCGGGUUGUAAACUUCUUUUGCUCUGAACAAGGCAUGCCUUUGGGGUGUGUUGAGUGUAGGGGUUGAUUAGCGCCGGCUAACUACGUGCCAGCAGCCGCGGUAAUACGUAGGGCGCGAGCGUUGUCCGGAAUUAUUGGGCGUAAAGGGCUUGUAGGUGGCUGGUUGCGUCUGUCGUGAAAGCUCAUGGCUUAACUGUGGGUUUGCGGUGGGUACGGGCUGGCUUAAGUGCAGUAGGGGAGGCUGGAAUUCCUGGUGUAGCGGUGGAAUGCGCAGAUAUCAGGAGGAAUACCGGUGGCGAAGGCGGGUCUCUGGGCUGUUACUGACGCUGAGGAGCGAAAGCGUGGGGAGCGAACAGG